GACGAACGCUGGCGGCGUGCUUAACACAUGCAAGUCGAACGGAAAGGCCCUGCUUUUGUGGGGUGCUCGAGUGGCGAACGGGUGAGUAACACGUGAGUAACCUGCCCUUGACUUUGGGAUAACUUCAGGAAACUGGGGCUAAUACCGGAUAGGAGCUCCUGCUGCAUGGUGGGGGUUGGAAAGUUUCGGCGGUUGGGGAUGGACUCGCGGCUUAUCAGCUUGUUGGUGGGGUAGUGGCUUACCAAGGCUUUGACGGGUAGCCGGCCUGAGAGGGUGACCGGCCACAUUGGGACUGAGAUACGGCCCAGACUCCUACGGGAGGCAGCAGUGGGGUAUAUUGCACAAUGGGCGGAAGCCUGAUGCAGCAACGCCGCGUGCGGGAUGACGGCCUUCGGGUUGUAUUCCGCUUUCGCCUGUGACGAAGCGUGAGUGACGGUAAUGGGUAAAGAAGCACCGGCUAACUACGUG
rnacentral:rRNA from 1 species